rnacentral:lncRNA from 1 species
UCUGCAGACAUAUUAAAUUAGGUGUAAUAGAGAUGGACCGAGUUCUGCUUUAGAUUUUAAUUAAUCUGAUGCUCAUUGAACAACUUCAAUAUCAUUAAUUGCAUGUGCAUCUUAUACAAUGGAUUUGGCUAGGAGAAAACAAGUUGUAACAAUCCAAGGCACUGCCACGAAGGCAGUAAGCAAUUAUGUACUGUGAAUAAGUAGGUAUCCAGUGUUUGAGCUCAUUCCCUGAUGCUCUUUUACUUGACAGUAGGGUAUCUGCAGUCAGUGCAGCUAAUGGGCAUCUCCAGAGGAUGAGAUGAAUUAUCCUCUGGAAAGACUUACCUCUGCUGUUGAUCAUAGUUGAAAACUAAGCAAUAAGCUUAGAUUAAACAAUCAGCUUUUAAACAGUUUGAAUUAGGUAUGAUUAAUCCCAUCUUGUAAACUACUUGAGCUGCUCUGAGGGCACCCAGGUUCCUUGUGAACUCAAUGAAGAAGGCUAGAUUUUCUUGAAGAUACCGCAAGGAAAUCCAAUUAGUUUAACUUUGUUAAACCGAAGCAGGUAGAAUCACCCUCUUGAGGUCUUCAGAUGAAAUAAACUCUUACUGUUGACUAUCCAGGAAACUUAAGCACUUGUUUUAUAAAGAUUGCUUCCACUAACUCAUGCAAUUUGGGUGUAUGGUGUCUAAUAAAGGUGCAUUGACUUCCUUUCCAGGUUUCAUUAUUUCUGGUGCUCAGUGAACAACCUUAACAUCAGUAGAGAUAUCAAAGUUUCAUAUUAAAAUUUAUGCUUAUGCUGUUGAUUUUUUUUGCUGUUACCGCAAUGGCAGAUCAGAAACUGACAAAAGAAAAGCAGGAAAGCAGGGAAAUGGCAACCAUUAAAACUGGAGUCAGUACUACCAAUAUAAAACCAAAAGCAACCCCUCAGAAAGAACAGCAACAGAGUUAUUUAGAAAGCCCUUGCUUUUUCGCUUUUAUGUAUAUGUAAGUAUAUGAAGAUCAGUUUUAUUAACUAGUGGUAUUGAGAAAAGACAAAGAAACACAUUUUAAAUUACAUUAUAGCUAUGUUCUUAA